GUGUGAGUCCACUCCACACCGUGAGAUUCAGGGGAGAAGCUCCUGGAGGCUGGAGGCCUGUAGAGGUGAGGUGAGGAGGGAGUUGUUAGAUGAAGACUGGAGGCGGCAGUCACAGCAAAUGUGUAUCAUAUCACACACAUGCACACACACACGUUGUAACUAACACAUUUCCCCCGACAGCCAUGAUGAGCCAAGGCGAUUGAAGCAGAAAAUUGUUACCUCCCUUCCUCCCCCACUUCAGCUGGAAUGGAUUUUUAUCUGAGUCACAACCUCUCCUCACAACCCCAAUAUCUGCCUUUCUCACAGUCCCCCUGUCCUCCAUGUCCACAUCCUCUCGUUUUCCCUCCACCUUCCCCCAUCCCUCUCUCUGCUUUUACCUCUUAUUGGUGGGUACGUUUGCUCCGCGAACAGCAGAGGAAACAAAGCAAGGACGGGGGAAAUGAGACGCAUGAAAAGGAGUCGAGCCUCAGCCAUGUGGCCCCUUUUCCCUCGUGAUAUCAAAGAGAGAAAAUACAGAACCAUAUUACUCUUAACUGUAUUCCCUCUCAAAUCAGAGCUCAGAAACAGAUAUGAGGAAGAAGAAGGAAGGCUGAGGGAGCAGAGAAGAGUUGAUUUGAGUCACCAGAGGGAAUAAGUGUAAAGCUGAAUUCGUUGUAAGUGAAUUUUACUUGAGGCGUUGUCAGAGAGGAGGCCUCAAACGUGGAAAAAAAAAGUCAAAGCUGGAGCCAAUCAACAUCGAGGAAAUAAGGCUGAACUUUGCUUUAAAAAGUCAAAAUCUAGCUAGUUUCUGCAGAUGUGGAAAAAUGACCGAACAGCAAUUUGGAAACUUUUUUAAAAAUUUUUAAAUUUUAACCUCCAAAUUUUUGUCAUAAUAAAUAGACUGAAGUCUUCAUCAUACACUCAUUCUCAGCUCUAUGUGUGACAAGAUAUAUAUAUAUAUUUUUUUUUAAUAACAGCAGAGAUAAUUUCGGCUUCUCUACAUUUCUCUAAUUACCUCUGCAAUAACUGAUAAUAAAAAAAAUACCUUGGGGCUGCAUUGCGUUCUGCUGCUUGCUAAUGGUAGCACAGAUGUUAUCAUGGGGUCCUAUCAGGUGAAAUUUGUCUCACACUUGAUUUGCAUAGGCACAGGUGUUAUCAUGGGGUCCUAUCAGGUGAAAUUCGUCUCGCAGUCUAUUUGCAUCGGCGCUUUCUUGCAGGACAUACAAACGGUCUCACUUUUGUUAAGGUUUUCGUCCUUCAGAAUCAAGUGGCCUGUUUCUGAGGUGGAGGACGCUGAUAGCUUUGUAAGCUAACUAACACUAACUGAUUAGGCACCGAGCUAAUGAUCUGUGAAAGGUAAAAGGUCAAAGUCAUGCAAGAGCUUUGUGUAAUCUAUGGUGCAGCAGACCGGCGCAGAUUACGAUUGAUAACUGGUUCAGCGGGUUAAUCUUCUCUAUUUAAUUCUAUACAAGUUUAUUUUCUGUUAUGAUUUCAAGUGUUUUUUAUGCUUCGAUGCAUUUUUCAGGGAGGACUUAGUUGACUCUCCUUUACCUCUGCAACAAUCUACUCGAACAUUGCAAGACUAGAAGAAAAAAAUGUUAAAUUGAAGGGAUAUUGUGGCGUAAAAUUAAGUUAGGGUAAAACACACCGUAACACCGAGUUAGAAACCCCCUUGAGAGAUGAUUGUUGCAGACCGUUGCUUCUCUAGUUAAACCAACUUUAAUAACGACCGCAGGAUAGCAAUACACAAAUGUCUAAAAACAAACCUUAACCCAAAAACACCACUCUAACUUCAGCACCUAACUUCAUCAACCAGCCACCAAACACCUUCUUAGCUUUGCCUGAUUUCUUUAGGAAGGGAGACUAAACACAACUCACCUUCUCUCUUCCAGCAGCCGCUUGUUUGUAGCGAGACUUCAGGCCAGUCCAUUACAGACUGCUGCGGGGGGACGCAUCUGCCAUCCUGCAGUUGUCAUUAAAGUUGGUAUCAUUAGAGAAACAAGCGGUCAUCAACAUUAAUCUCUCGAGGGGGUGUCUAACUCGGUGUUACGGUGUGUUUGACCCUAACUUAAAUUUACACCAGAAUAUCCCUUUAACUCAGAAAGCCCAGUCUGAAUCCAAAAUUCAGCUAAAGGUUGAAAAUAAAACAGUCAAACGAAAAGUUGAUUUCAACCCUGACACUCACUGACUUGUUGACCUUUUGACUAAAGUUCCUUCCACCUCCUACUCACCUCUAAAACUGCAGCACAAAAAGUUCCUGUUUUAGAAGUUCCUCAGAGUCAGUUUUUUGCUUACUUCGUGACUUUACUCUCAUGUGGGGAUUUGUGCAUAUAUAGCGACUAUUUUUCUUACGCCCUGCUUUAAUGUUCGGCCUUUAUCUGAGUUUCUUUCAGAUAAAGCAGCAGCGCUCAUGGGUACAGGGGAAAAGCUCCUUUUUUUAGCUAUGUUUUGCUCCUCUAAGCAUCCACCAUCAAUAACACAUGGUUUUCUGGGGCUUUGGAUAAUUGUUGGUAUUCAUCAUCAUUGCUGGAAAAUAACAUUAACAAAGCAGCAAGUGGAUGGAAAUCCUAUUCAAAUGUGAACUGCAGGGUGACACUGGUGUUUGGCUUUGGAUAAAAAGGAAUUAUGCUGCAAGUAUAAAGAGAUACAGAUUCACUUACAAGCAGUUUAUCAUCAUUUACUCCACAGUUUUCCUCAAUCUUUGUAGCUUAACUUUUACCCAAGAGACUCAGAACUUACAGGAUCCAAAGGUCAUGAAACAGGACUAUUGAUUAUGAAAAAAUUGAACCUCCAGCUUUGCUUUCAGACGAUCGCUUGAGGACACUCACAGCUGACAUUUUGCCUUGUCCAUUUAAGAAACAAAUACAAACACAGGUUUUACAACGGGUUAUCCACCCCUGUAAUGGUUACCGUGAUGCUGGCCUUCGACUAAACAACACAUUUUGUUAAAGUUGGCAUUAAACAAGAAUUUAGCUGAAGCUUGUCUCUUCCUCCAUCCUCCUACCCUUAGCGGUAGCCCUAAAACCUAGUUCCAGCUGUCUGUAGUCAAAAACAAGAUAUUCCCCUAAAGCAUUCCUUCAACCAAAUAACUGAGUGAUCAGGAUUGAGAUUUUGGGUUGAGAUUUUCAUUAUGCUUAUUUUCUCAUACUGUUGCAAAAACAUUUCAACAGAGUUAGACUUUAUGUUAGUUUCUGCUUUGUUCUGUUUACUUGAAGUUAUUCGUCAUUUGCUGGACAGAGAGUGUAACUGUGAGCAAUGUUUUUUGGAAGUGGUCUUGAGCUUCGUUUGGACGGCCAGAUGAAAUUACACCAUUGCAUAAUACUCUGCAAUUGAAUAGUUGGACUGUUUUUUUACGGUCUUUCGUAGAGUGAUAAACCCCCUCCCAUCUUUAAUACUCAACAGUUCAGACUCAAUGGAAUAAACCUAUUUUACCAAGUCAUGUCACUCACCUGUUAAAGAUUAACCUUUGCAUAAAUAGUCAGGUUUUUUUUUGUUUGUUUUUUUGUCCAAAAUUGUUGCGACUUUAAAAUAAUUAUAAUGUCAUGUUGUGUCUGUCAUACUUGUACACAGACUCUGGUGCUUAAAGGCAUGGUUGAUGAUUGGAGAUAUUGGUAAUUAUUAUGAACUUCGUUUAAAUGGCGAUCAUGGUCCUAUAGUGCGAUCUCCACAAAGUGAAGAGAAAAAAGAAUGGAAAAAAUCCAUUCACCCUAGCAGGUGCAAAAACAUUGACCAAUGGGAGCCAUUUGUCCCGGGCAGCUCUAUUGGUCGAUCUCCUGCUCCACCUCUCCAUCCAAUCACCUCGCCAGAGAAACCAAAACAGGUUCAUAUGAUCAAUAAACCUUCAAACUGACUGUUGAGGUGAAUUUAAGAGACCAACCUCAGAAAAAUACAGUUGAAUUUAUGGUAAAAUGUUGUUGAGGUCUCAUUAGGCCUCUCGGUUACUCAGCCGUGAAUCCUCAGUUCGCCACUUCAAAAGUUCAUCAGCUGGUUUUAUUGAUCGUUCGGUUACGACGGUGUAGGGCCCACACAAGCUCUCGCCGGCCUCCAGUUAAAUCAUGCUGAAGCCUUCCCUGUCUCUCUAAUUCCGUAGCAGGGACAGAGAGUAAGUGGAGUGAACUGACCAGGGACCUUUAAAAUACAUCACAUCUACUGCUAUCUGAUGACACAUAAAAAAGGACGGCAGUGAGUAUAAAUGUCAAGAGCACAGGAAGAACUGGACAGAAUGGUUGUGUUUCAAUUCUAUUUCUGUUCUGUUCGUUUUUCUGCAGCUUUCUCUACUUACUGCUGAUUUUCUUAGUUUGUCGUUGGUUGUCCAAAAAGGAUACCAGGAGUGUUAGCCAAGUGUACAAUGUUGAUUAUGUGAGCUGUCCACACAAGGACACUUAUCUCAUCUUUAGAAAUGUAGUCCUCUCAGAAAGUAUUCUGUGUUUGACUCCAAACUCAAGCACAAUCCACUUUCUUGUUUGUUUCAACCCUCUGUAUUUCCUGUCCAAAAUUUAAGGCUCUGAAAACUCUUGGAGCACCCCCAAGAAUUAGGCCGUCCUUGUAAAACUCAAGUUUGAACGGUUGUAAAGAUGCCGGAGAGGUUUAUAACUUCAGAUAGUCACUGUUCUCACCAGGAAUAAAAUACCCAACAACUUUAGAAGUCACAGAAAAUGUCCUGUAAAGUCAGCCCCAGCUUCAGGUCAUGCAAAGGUCUCCUCCCUGUGGCAGCCGUGGAAGCACUGUGACCUUGUCAUAUCCUGCUGAAACCCCUGGGGAGGUGAGUGAUUCGGUUGAAUGGUGGGACCUACAAAGGGUGUUGCUCUGACCUUAGUGACUCUUGGACCCUCGCUGACUCCAAACAAAUGUCAGCCCUGUUUUUUUCAACCUUGAGGGAUGUUGUUUUCUGACUGAAUUUAACAAGACAUGAGUCAGAUAGGAAGGGAAUACGAAUCACACCGAUAUCUGUUUUAUUCAGAAUAGUUGUAUGUAAAUUUUUCUUCCUGUUAUGGCAGCUGGGUCAGCAGAGCUGCACGUCUGAAUAGCAAAAAAUCAAUCACAACCUUGAUUUAGGCUGACAGACCAAGUGUCAGCUCAGUGAGGAUGAAUAAGCAUCAUUGAUUUUGAUUAUCAUAAUAGAGCCCAGUGACAAAUAUUGCAAAUACAAGAGUUUUGGAAAUGCAGAGGUUUUAUUUUAUUCUAUUUUUUAAAGUUUGCUUUAUCAUGAACCUUAAAAGAAAACUCCCAGUCUGACAAGUAUUCACAGUGUAAACAUUGAAAAUAUUUAGAUUAUUUAAUUUAUGUUUAGAUAUUUAGAAAUAGACAUGAAGUAUAAAGGGAGAAAAGUUUUAUAAAAGAAUUUCUGAGCGCCCUCAACUUGUAUCUUUGAGUUUGUUGUGGAAUAAGCAGUUCAAUACCAUAAAACGGGCAGGGUGACCCCAUCAGCACAGAUGCCUCCUAGUUCUACAGUACAGGCCAGUGAAUCAAGAAAGAUGAACGGAGCUAUUGAAUUUCUCCUCAAUGCGUUUCCUCACAACACCUCUGUCUUUUCAUCCAGAAAGAGCUCCAUUACCACGUCAGUGUAUUGACCUCUGCAGAGAAAACAGACAACCAUUUAGCAUCCCUUAGUAUGGGCAAGGGUGAAUCAAUGGACCGAGCUUGCAUGCUAAAGUUAGCGGGGUUUCUGUUCGCCCUGUCUCCUGAAAAUGUACUUUUCAAUUCAUCUGGGGCUGUAUUUUGCAUCUGAAUGUGACUUUUUUGCCCCAAAAUAUACAAUAAUGCGACCGUGUCCAUCGACUAUAAGCUACAGAAAAGUACUAAAAGUCAAAAACGAAUGGGCUCUAUACAUAGGGGCCUCUGCCAUCAGUGUAUAAAUGUGGUGUGAAUGGGUGAAUGUCACAUGUAAUGUCAUACUUCAUUUAUCAUUUGGCGUAUAUGAAACUCAUGGACCAGGUAGGGUAUGCCUGUGCUGUGUUACCUAAUGGCUCUUAACCUAAGAUUCAAAAAAAUAAAUAAUACAUUAAGCAGGCACUAAAAGCAGAUUUUGAUCCAAUUACACAUUCCUCUGUAUUAGCUCCAACAUCGUUGACAUUCCCCGAAUUCUGAUACCAUUAUUUGUAAUGCAUGAAUCCGGUAGACCCAAUCUGCAGCGGGCAUAAAGAUGUAUGAGCACAAAAGUGUUAUUACUAACUGAGACGUAGGCGAUUGCUUAAGCUACAGGCCCGUCCUGGGUGCAUCUACACCCUGGUACUGUGGGCCCCUCUUCAGGAAAGCACCGCCUCUUCACUGUGUCUCUGUUUCCACUAUCAUCUUAGCGGGUGGAUUGGAUUUGUCUGAGAUUGUCCCGGAGAAACACUAAAUAAAAAUAAGUUUGAGGGAUCAUUGUUGUUGCCGAUGCCUGUCAGUGAGCACGCAGGAUGACAGAAGAGGUUAUGCUAUGAGAGGAGCGAUGCAUUGUGGCUGAAUGUUAAAUUCCCCAUAAAUUGAUGAUUUUCUCUCUCUGGCCUCUGCAAUGACACGAUUUCCCUGCAGGGAUUAAUGAUGUUUUUUCUUAUCUCAUACCCACACGCACAGCAAUACAGUAUAAACACAACCUGUCACAAUGAGGAUUCAUUUUCAGGAACACACACACAAACACACACAUAGAAGACUGUAAAACCGUAUUAAUGCACAAAUCAAAACACUGACUUCUCAUCUGUAAAGAUGCUGUUUCAGUACUGUGAGCCGCCUCAUGAUGCAGUUACCCUCCAGCUUAAAGGCAGGCAGUUCGAUAUAAACACCAUGGUGUAAACGUCAUGUGAACACUACAAAUGAGAUGUCUCUAGCAGUAGAGAACGGGAACGCAGCUGGAUGACAAUAUACGAGCGGUGCAGAACAAAGGCAGCAAACGUGAAAUAUGCAGCAAUCUAAAAAAAGCACAUUAGUUUAUUAUCCCACUGUUGCUCCCAAUGUGAAUUUAGUGGAAAAAAAAUACAACACACUCAGUUAAGCUAAUGCUAAUGCACAUAGAUGCAAAGUGAUACAUAUAAACAUAACCAUACAUUUAAAACACAGUACAGAAAAACCCACUGCAUGUUAGUCCUCAGGGAAAUGAGUUUUAGCGCAAAAGUAAUUUAAACUUUGUUUGUAUAAAAAGAUUAUAUCUGCAAAUGCAAUGUUGAAUAAUGUAAAAUACUGCUGAUUAGUAAAGCUUAUAAAGGAGGUUUGAUUAAGACAUGAAAGGGAUUAAGUGUUAGAAGAUAAGCAGAAACAAAUAGGAUGAAAAAAGCAACACUUUCUUUUUUUUUUAACUAGUAAUCACAGACUGUGACAACUCUUGAAGCACUUAUCCUGUUUUUUUGACCUUGAGUGAAAAAUAAAUGAGUUCAAACUUUUUAAAUGAUCAAAAUUUACCUUUAGAGAAUUAAAAAAAAUGGUUGCAUAUGUGAAAGAGUAUACAAGUGCUCCUACAUGAUGAAUUAAAAAAUAAAAAAUUUAAUAUUUUUAUGCUUUUAACCAAGGACCUUUUGAUUGUCAGUGUCAUCUUCAACAGACUGCAUAAUACAACCAAAAAGAUAUUUUAUUUAAUGAAAGACCUACGCUCAUUUUUCAGGUCCUCGUUUCCUUAUCUCUUAUCAUUAAAGAUCCAGAGAUGAUAGAAAACUGACAAGGCCAAAAACAGACGGCCUGAUCACUGCAUUAGAAAACAGACCUGACUCUGUCGUGGAAAUCACUGCAUGGGCUCAGGUUCACCAAAAACCAUGGAGAGUGAAUCCAGCUUGCCAUUGCAUCUAUGAAAGCAGGUUAAAACUGCGCCAUACAAAAAUGAAACUGUGCCAUCAUUUCAGAUAGGCUAAGAGAUGAAGAGGUUUCCUUCUGGAAAUCAUGGAUGUAUUGUUAUCAGCACAGAGUUGAGAAACCAACAUCCCCGAUCAUAUGGUGAUGCAUUAGUGCUUUUGGGAUAGAUGUCUUGCAAACUGCUCUUGGGCAACAUAUACCCAGACAAAGCCAUUUUCAGGAAAACCUUCACACUGCCAAAACCGAUCUGUUUAUUUUACAACAACAUACAACGACUCUGUAGUGGAGGAGUCCCUGUGCAGCACAGCUUCUUUACUGACUCUCUUUGACUGAAUCUUCCAGUCCUCUGGGUAGUUUCUUUUUCUUCUUUUUCUUUACGUUUGAAGCUUCAUUGUUUUUCAUUUUACUUUUUUCUUGGUAACUGAAGAAGCUUAGUGAAAAACCAGCUGGAGUGCACUCCCAUUGUGUAACAUCCAUAAACCAAAAACUGGCGCUUGGUUUUCAUCACUUUUGUCUUCACUCAUUUGAAAUAACCAGGGCCUAAAAUCUUAAACUCACAUGCUGACAUUUCUAAAUUUUAGAUUCAUUCUUGAAGUGGCGCAAACUCAGACCAGCGACUCUGCGUACAGUAGACUACAGUACACCUGAGCGCCCUCCUCUCUUCUCUGUGUCUCUGAUUCGUCCCCACCGGCUGCCUCAGGAGAGCAGCUAACUCUGUCUGCUCCUGUUUUAUACAUAACCAGCAGGCUAAUCUAAUUACUCUGUGAUGGAGAGCAGUCAAUUUCACAGUCAGCCAGACACUUCUGCUGCCUAAAAAUUGGGGCCACCCAAGUUUGAUAUAUGAGGCAAUAACCUGUAAUGUAAUGAAGUCACCUUCAGACCAAGACCCCUGUCAUUGAAAUAAUAAUGAAUUAUAACAAGUAUAACAGUAUUUGGGUUUGACACGCUGAGACUCUCUCCUGUCCUGCUGCCUCUAUCUCUCUCCUCCGUACUUUGUCUUCUAUUCUGUGUAAAAUGGGGUUUUUCCUUUUUUUAAAGUUGUAAUAUUAAGGUGACUUUAAAGUUCAUGGACCAGCUUGUCAAAUAGGCAGUUUGGGCUUAAAACAGAAGACGUAUGCUGAGAGGGGAAGUGUCAGACACCUCCAAGACUCAUAGUUCAGUCUAAUUUACUUAAGCGGGAGGCAAGGCCAUAAAAAUCAAAUAUUGGUCCUGUCAUUGUAAUAUUAAAGUCAUAUUUAAAGGGAUGGGUUCAGUAGCUUUAUGUCUUGGCAAAACGGCUCUUUAUGCUUUGCAGGAGUACAGAGGAAUUGGUGAAUUCAUAUGGUUCGGCUGAAAUACUGUACGACUGAUGUUAUGAUGGGACGAUUUCUUAACUUUAUAAGUCCUAAAGAUUCUAAAGAUAAAAUAACAUUCAACACAUUACGAAAGAAAAAAAAGAGUUUUCAUUCUGUCGAGUUAUCUCAAAUAAAGACAGUAUUCAAGGUUGACAAAAAUUGUUUUUUCAAUUGGGGCCAAUACCAGUAAUGAUUAUUAGUAAUUCAUGAGACAGUUGCUGAUAUGUUGAUGCCAAUAUGCACAGAGAGUAAAAAUGAAAAACUAUCUGUAAAUCUCAGAGCUUAAGUACAAUGGUGUCACACCUAGCCAAUCAGAUAGUGUUGUUGGCGGGACAUGAGGUACGAAAAAUUGGUUUUAACAGACCCAGUGGAGCUAAAUCAGCGCAUCUCUUCAUCAAGAAGUCUGAUAUAUUGACCUGUUUUCUUAAAAACAACCAUCUGUGAAAACAUGUUUACUGACAUGAUGACUCAUACUGAUCUGUUUCAGGUGCCCAGGAGGAAUUUUGUAGUUAUUUUGUCACAUGGCAGAGUUGAAGAACAAAAAAAGGACCCGAAUGCAGAACAAAAAAUGACCUAAACAAAAAAGAGAGAAAUAAAAAGAAAAAAAAAAAACUUACUUCCAAAGAAAACAAGAAGCAAAAUACAAACAAAAGACACGCACACACAUCGACUUACAAUGAACAAACAAGAACAGAGGGGAAGACAGAGACUAUAUACACACUGGGAAACGAGCAACAGGUGAGGCAGAUGAGACACAGGUGAAACUGAGACUAGAAACACAAGGAAUCCACUACUACAAAAUAAAAUGGGAAACACUGAGAAGUGAUCUAAAGAAUGACACUAAGAACAGGAGGGAAACAGGGUCAAACACAAACUGAAAACUCACAAGACAGGAUCACAGGAACAAUAGGGAACAGAAACACGAGGGAAAAACACCAAGAAAAUACACUUAAACAACAAAAGCAGGGAAAAACUAAAUGAACAGAAAACAACAUGACAGAUUUGACUCUAAUUUAGGAGAGAGGAAGGACGCUUGUUUUCAGAUACAUGUCACCUCUAUCCAGUUUUGUAUGCAAUCAUGCAACUCUAGUACUAUUUGGUGUAAUUGGUAGUCCAGUUAAUAGUUGAUAGGGUUUGUCAAAUCCGGUCCAGGGGUCUAUAUUCUCGAGCAGGUUGUUUGGAAAGUUAUGAUGAUGAGUUUGCAGCUGUGGAAGGUUGUUUAUACUAAAUCAUCACAUUCUUGUCUUUUCAUGUCUGAGCUCUGGACUCAAGUACAAGACUGGGAGGUAUUAUUGAGAUCCAUGGUUGUUCCCCCAUUGAGAUAAAACCUUGAAGACGAAUGGCAGACAUUUGUUUCUUUUAGGCCCUGAAGUCUUUGAGGAAAAAAAAAGCUCCUUUUAAUAUUUUGUAAAUCAUGAGCUAUCUUAAAUUCCACUCAGAAAAGCUGAGAGCCAUGGUUUUAAUACUUUAACAAGUCAACUCAUAAUAAAGUAAAAAGUUCUCCACGCUCAGGGAAACACUGACAGUUAUCAAUAUUUAACAAAACAUCUGCAUAAGUGACUGAUAACCUUGUUAGAGAACAAAACACUGAAUAUUUGACCCCCAAAGUGCCAGGUGUGUCCACCUGCCUGCCGUCCUGUGUGAGUCCUGCAUCACACGCGAAGAGAAAGAAUAAUGUUGUGUGUAAUGUGACCAUGGAGUGUAGUUAGAAGGCACGAGGUUUUCAUUCACCAGCAGCGAUGCCCCACAGUGACUCUCCACAAGGUCAUUGCUUUAUUCAGUCCAGACACAGAGAACAGCCUUGUGAGUUCCCUAAACCCCUCCAGCACCAAGGCGGAUCACACAGAAACAGACGGCUGCCUCUGUGCUGAUGUGUGUGAGUAACUUUUGAACAUUGUUUGUCCAGAGCCUUCAGUCAAGCUUAUCGCCAAGAUGUUGUCCACCUGCAGACAUGUACGGUGUACUUCUUUCUGCUGUCACGCAUGCAGCACCAUGUGUGGAUCACAUGCAUGUUUAGCAGGAGAUUCUUGUGCAGCAAUUCAUUUGGAUUCACAUUCAUCUCUCAUCAUAAGUUUUCACAAUCAAUUGGUGAUAAGAAGGAUUUCCUGCACAGUAAACACAGAAUGACGGGGGAUGUCCGUUUCGCAAAGACCCGAAGUGUCAUACAGUACAGGCCAAAAGUUUGGACACACUUUCUCAUUCAAUGUCUUUUCUUUAUUUUUUUAUAUGAAUAUUUACAUUGUAGAUUAUCACUGAAGGCAUUAAAACUAUGAAUGGACACAUGUAGAAUUUUGUACUUAUAAAAAAAGUGUGAAAUAACCGAAAACAUGUUUUAUAUUCUAGUUUCUUUAAAAUAGCCACGCUUUGCUCUUGAUGACAGAAGUACCUUGUCAGGGUUACUUCAGGCACUCCUGUGAAGUAAAAACCAUUUCAGGUGACUACCUAAUGAAGCUCAUUGAGAGAACAGCUAAAGUUUGCAGCGCUAUCAAAAAAGCAAAGAGUGGCUACUUUGAGAAAUCUAAAAUAUAAAACAUGUUUUCAGUUAUUUCACACUUUUUUCUUAAGCACAUGAUUCCACAUGUGUUCAUUCAUAGUUUUGAGAAUCUACAAUUUAAAUAGUAACGAAAACAAAGAAAAUGCAUUGAAAGAGAGGGUGUGUCCAAACUUUUGGCCUGUACUGUAUGUUGCGUUCCAGUUGCCUCGGAAGUUGGAUGUCGGAGCCGGGAAUAAUGUUACACCCGAGUUGAUGGAGUUCUAGUUAACAAACAAGAUGGACGCCUACAGUUAGUCGUUGUUAGCUGUUGUUUACAAUCGUCAGCUGUCGUUAGCCCUUGUCAGUUGUUGUUUGUAGUUGUUAGUUAUACCAGUUGUAAACAACACCUAACACAGUAUUUUACUCUUACAAACACCACAGCACCGUGUUCACAGUUAGACAUUGGGCAGAACAACAUACACCACUUAUUUAAUUUCACAAAAACAAAACAGAAGAUCUCAUAAAUAAUACAUUGCGACAGCUUUCACUGUUACUCUUCACUAUUGAUGCAUUGCGCUGCCAUCUUGUCGGAAAUUGGAAAUCUGACUGGUCGGAAGUCGGAAAUCUGACUUCAGGGGGGCGUUCCAGAUGAAUUUUAGACUCAGAGUUUGAAAUUCCCACUUCCGAGUACAACCAGAACGUAGCAUUAAUCUCUUCCUGGACCUGUGCAAGUACAGAGCAACCAGAAAGUUUACAUGAUUUAAAAAAAAUCUAUUAUUGAAGUCGUCUGACCGUAGCUGGACUAGUUUGUUCUGCCGUUGUUGACGGCAAGAUUGUUGAUGCAUGCAAACAGAAGUCUGAAUACACGGAAUGUAACUUCCUAAAGUUGGACUAACAUGCCUAGAUGAUACAGCUGGGGUUGAUUUCCUCCUGCAUUUAUGGGCUUUAGUCUGUCUCAAACCGUCCUGAGUGUUCUGUAUAUGCUCCAUCGUUUGAGUAUCCAAGAUAACAUAAAUGCAUCGCCAGGAAGUCGGGUAUUAGACAUAAGAAUAAGAAAGGCUGUAAAAAAGACAAAGCUGUUUUUGAUUGGAAAUGGACACAUGAGCUGGAAAAAGGCAUGAGAGAGGCUAACACACGAUUUCCACAAGAUCCAUGUUUGAUCUGCCUCUACUCUGAUUGACUAAAGUGGAAACCCUGGCAAAGCGGGGACGGACUGAUCAUGUAUCUGGUGUAAUUUAGAGGCCGGAUAUUGUGAAUGCUCAGACUGUGGCUUUCAAAUCUGACAAGUAGAAGCGUUGCAGUUUCACCGUGUCAUGAAAUAAAAGAGGAGGAUUGGUGACCGGCCAACAAAAACAAUAUUCACAGAGGGAUGGGUAAACUGCCCCUCUCAGGGAUACCAAAGACGGCUUUAAACCUUGACCAUGAACCCUUAAAUCCAUCACACAAAUGAUAUUAUUCUGUGAUGGAAGAAAUAUUCUCCACAUCUCUGUAAAUGCUGCAAGACAUGAAAUUGAAUAAAAGACAUAAAAACUUGAACUUAAAACAUAUUCAGAGUAAACACGAUGUAAGCUUUUAGUGAUACUGGGUUGAAGAGGGCAAUAGUGACUCUGCGUACACCAACAAACUGGAGGUUUUUACUUCUCUCUCUGUGUUAAAUCAGAUAUCCCACCAGGUUCAGCAGCAGAUAAGAUACCAGAGGCAAACUUCUUACCUGGGCUUUCUGUUGGCUGUGUUUGCGCUCAGAUCCGGGACCUCUGGGGAGCUCCUCUCUGCCUCUCUAGAAACCGGCUCAGAAAUAGUUUAGCAUUUUGAAAUUCUAGUGUGUGGGAAAACGCGAGUAAAUAAAAUAAAUAAUUGAUAUUUUCACUUUUGUUGAAGAGCCCUUGGGGCAAUGCGUUUAGCUGCCAACUUUUCAGCAGAUACCAGGUAACAGUCAGAGUUUCCCUGGUCUGAAAAGUUCACAUAUGCGGAUAUGAGGCAGGUGUUACUGAGAGGAUCUGACAUUCCCCUGAUAAAUAAAGGCUGAAAUCUGUGUGGGUACCCUUUGUGAUACAUGUUUGUGUGAUACAUGUUAGUGUGUGUGCAGCCCUACUGAUGGGUGAUAUAUGAGCCAUGUGAACUGGCUGUUUGCUCUGCAGCUCAGACUGCCAGGCUUGUCAAAACGAAUGAGAGAUCUGUCUGUGAGAAACCCCCGUGUUGGCCUCUGCUCUGCUCUCUGCUGCCCUGAUCCACCUUCAUCUUCUCUGCAGCAGGACAGGAAGAACCUUAUUGAAGAGGGAUGUAUGGUGCAGUUUUCUGAGCACAGCAUGAGGCUUCAGGGUAUCAGAUAGCAGGGGUUCUAUUGUGGUGUGCAGGAGAAGUUCCCAGCUCCUAUUUGUAUGGGAACUUGGGUUUUGGUCAUGCUGUCUUUGUGAGUUUUUAGUUUUUGGGGCAAGAUAUCAAAAUAUAGUGUCCCUGUUAGGGAAAUACUGUCUUAUAUAUCUGAUAAUAUAACAGUACAUUGUAGCAACUUACAGUGAAAUCCACUCACUUUGUGAGAGCGGCAUUUUUUGGCAAUAAACAUUGCAUUUCUGUUGCAGAUUGGUGUAUUUCCAGAGACUGUCCAGAUAUAAUCUCUCAAUAAUUAAGGUAAUAUGUCAGGAUUAAUGAAUUAAAUACAGUACUAAAGAGCAAUUCCUGUUGUGAGAUGUCUAAUCCGCCAAAUUCAUAACCUUAAUAUCUUCAAAAAGAACCUGUAAGUACAAUGUGUGGCGAUAGAGAAACAAGCUAUUCAGGCCCAAAACCUUCUUUUUUGUAUCAGGCAAAAAUGGACCAUUUUGUGAAAGGGUGUGUAUGUGGUUUUUGGUUCUCCUGGAGGCAGCCUCUAGUGGACACUUAAGGAACUGCAGUUUUUUUUUUUUUGUUUUUUUUUUCCACUUCCAUAUCUGCCUCUCUUCUCAAAUCUGGAGGUUGCUGCUCGGUUGCCAAUCCUCGUUACAUUUAGUGUAAUGUGAAAGAAAUAAGGCAACCUAAGAACAAGACGGUGAAAAUCUCAAAAUAAAAGCAUGACAGACGAUUAUAUAUAAGGCGAUUUUGUAUCUGUGGAAGUUUCUGUAAGAGAGCUGGUCACAUAAAUAAAUCAUAAGUGUAAGCAUUAUUAAAAAUGGAUGAUAGCAUGUUAUUAAGUUUGUAAAGUUACAGUAGUAUUGUGCCACUUAACCCUUUUCUUGCAUCUCUUGAAUUUAAAUAUCAGCGUUGUUGUUUUUAUCUAAUUUUGCGCAGUAAUAUUGUUAGCAUGAGUAUUUGGUCAACUUAAAGUGUCGGCCCAGCUUUAAAAAACUGAGACAACUUUUUACAGUGAUUGUUGACCUUGUUUGUAUUUUAUGGAUUUUUAUCAACUUGUCGCUAGUUUUACUUACAAUAUUUCAUGGUUGCACUUUUUUUCUUACCACUCUUUCUUUCUUUGUACCACAACCGCAGCAACUCCAACUUUCCUCAGGAUGAAUAAGGUUGGUUCUUAUCUAUAAUUCAUAACGUUUGAAGGCUUCACAGCGAACAUAGAGCUGGUGUUUGAGCUGCUGCAGGUGGUUUUGAGUUUUGGGUCAGUUGAAAGAGCUGGGGAGCAUCAGCAGGGGGGCAUCAGAACCACACAGUGAGACACGGGAGUCCUGCGCUCUGUCUGGAUGAAUGCUCGACAUCACAAGGAGAAGGUGUGGUCCACUAUGAUAAACCCCGGAGCGCAAACACACACACACAGGAUUAUAACUCCAUCUCUGGAGUGUGUGUGUGUGUGUGCACUUUACCAAAACAUAUCUCAGAGGGAGAAGAGCCGCAGAAUAAAGUAAUCCCAUCGGUGGGGUGGGUGGAGUCAAAUAAGCGGAAUAAUUCCCCGGUGGGAUCUUGUGUUUUAUCAAAGGAAGCAGACAGAUUACCCACCGCUGCUUAGCCGAGCUGUUCUUUGGUAAAACAUUGAUCAAUAUGCUGAUUGUUUUUUCCACACUUAAAUAGUGAACUGUGCUAAAUGCCUCACAGUGUGCCUCCAAUUAAAAAUGCAGAAUAUUGAUGCGUUUAAUGGGUAAUUAGUCGGCACAUUUCCCAGUACAUGGAAACAGAGCAGACCGAGCCAGCUGUGAUCAUAAAUGAACUUAAUUCAUUGACCUAGACUAUUUAAAAAUAGUUUCCUGUGCUAUUUUUACAAUCCACUACGUCACCAAGGAUAUUCUUUUGUAUGACGGGGGCUAAAAGUGGCCAAAAUUCUUGGAUUUGUUCUUGCUGUGGCCAUUUUUUUGGCUUUGGUUGGAAUUAAGUCCAAGUUUAAAUGACAAAAGUAGUAUUCUUACAUUGAGAGCUGGAAAUGUGUAAUUUAAAUUCAUGAUAUGUUGUAGCGUUUGGAAAAGAAAUAAUUUGGCCGACAAGUGAGUCAAUAUCACAGAAUCUAAUUGACUGCAUUAAUUAGCUGAGUUUCUACAUUUCUGUGCAAUUAAAAAUCCUGUUUCCUGGCACUUAUCCCCGUCAUUAAUUUUCUCUCUGAUUGAUCUCGGUGAAAUAACAAAUCCUUAAUGAUUUUGUGGCAAAGUUUAUUAUGUCAACACUUUUUUUGUAAAUAUAAUUUGCUCAGUAUUUAUCAGCGUCAGGGAUUGCUUUCUUGAUUUAAUAGCUUUUUUUUUUACACUCCAAAGACUCCAGUUGCAGCAGAAAAGCAGCCCCUUCGGUCCGCCCCAGUAACAGGUUGGUUUGAGAUGGAAAGGUACUUGAAGUGGACAAGUGUUUUGGUGUGGAUUGAUGAAGAACAAUUAUAUGGUUUCAAAUGAACACUCUGGUGAUUGAACUAGAGGGCUUGGUUGGUGAAAAAAUCUAUUCUUCCCCAUCGAUGUGAAAUUUUGUGCCAAUUUCAUUCCCACUGGUCCGAGACCUUGGGAAAAUAAAUUUGUUGGUAUCUCUUCAACGCCUUCCUUUACUUUACUGAGAUGUUUAAUAAUUUCCCUUUGGAGUCCAGGAGGCUACAAUCGUCUUCCUCACAAGAAAGAAAAUGAGCACCGGCUUGUUUUGUCCAUUGUGCACAUUUACUAACAGCAAAGGAAACAGUUUGACCAGCAGUCUGUAUCUCAGCAGUGUGUUUAAAGAGCUUAAUAAGAGCCUGUUAUCUGUGUCGUGUUCUUAUCAGUCUGUCUCGUUUCAUUUUGAUGUUUAAUUAACUCUAGAAAGAGUGUGCUUGUUGUACGUGUGGCCGUCUCUAAUAAAAGGCCCAUUUUGGAUGUUUAUUUUCUGUUUUGAAUCUUUAUCAUCAUGAUAGAUGAGCAGUCGCUCCACAGACAGCCGUCUUUGCUUUGCUUCAAUAGGGAAGUGACCCGACUUUAACUGUUGCUGGUUCUGAUGAAACGGUUUCCAUGAACCCAGCUGAGCUUCUGCAGAUGUUUGUGUGCUUUUCCAGUUAAAGCCCAACUGAGCAAAGCGUCAUGAGUUAUCAGAGGUAAGUGAGCGAUGCACAGACAGCAGCGAUGCCCCUCUGUAAAGCCUCUCUUUGAUGUUUUUUCACUGUGUCUAGCGCCAUGAGGGCUUUGGACACGCGGCCUGGAAACCAACUGUGUCUGUGCCAUUAUUUUGUUCUAUGGAUCAAAGACCAAAUAAUGGAGCCGUGUAGCCACCUGCUGCUCGCCAUAACUUUUCUG